UUUUAUAUAGUUUAAAAAAAACUUAACUUUUUCAAAGUUAAAAUAAGAAAAUUUUUCUUUAUAAAAA
rnacentral:tRNA from 1 species